AUUUUUUAAGUCCAAAAACCUUUUUAGGCCAUGAGACGUGACCAUUUAUUUUUCAUUUUUGUAGCGCACAUCUGGUAACUACUGGGAAAUGACUUU